UACGAAGGGGGCUAGCGUUGCUCGGAAUCACUGGGCGUAAAGCGCACGUAGGCGGCUUUUUAAGGCAGGGGUGAAAUCCUGGAGCUCAACUCCAGAACUGCCUUUGAUACUGAGAAGCUUGAGUCCGGGAGAGGUGAGUGGAACUGCGAGUGUAGAGGUGAAAUUCGUAGAUAUUCGCAAGAACACCAGUGGCGAAGGCGGCUCACUGGCCCGGUACUGACGCUGAGGUGCGAAAGCGUGGGGAGCAAACAGG
rnacentral:rRNA from 1 species